GCUCAGUGGGUAAAGCACAAGGCUCUUAACUUUGUGGACGUGGAUUCAAGUCCCAU
rnacentral:tRNA from 1 species